rnacentral:lncRNA from 1 species
AGCAACGGUCAAGGAUUUUAACAAGAAUUUUAAAGGUCAAGGGAAAAAAUGCGUCUUCGGGGAAACUAUAUGAAUUUUGGCGCUAUUUCCUAUUUGCCCAUUAAAUUUUUUAAAAAAUCCCUCUCCUCUCUUAUCUUUUUGUUUUGAAUAAAUCUAUUUUAUAAUUCUUUUUUAUUUUUAUUUUUAUUUUUAACUUUUUUUGCCUCUUCAUAAUGUCAAUAUUAUUAUUGUGAAUUCUUCUUUAUUAUUUUUAUUUUUUUAAUAUUCAACUCACAUAUAUUCAGUUAAAUGAAGCUAAUUUUAAAGGCCAUGU